rnacentral:rRNA from 1 species
GACGUAGGUGGCGAACGUUAUCCGGAAUCAUUGGGCGUAAAGGGUGCGUAGAUGGCAUGAUAAGUUAUUAGUGGGAAAUCGAGGCUCAACCUCGUGGAAGCUAGUAAUACUGUUUUGCUUGAGUACAGAAGAGGUUAAUGGAAUUCCAUGUGGAGCGGUAAAAUGUGUAGAUAUAUGGAAGAACAUCAAUAACGGCGAAGGCAGUUAACUAAACCGUAACUGACGCUGAGGCACGAAAGCGUGGGGAUCAAACAGG